AUUGAACGCUGGCGGCAUGCUUUACACAUGCAAGUCGAACGGUAACAGGCCGCAAGGUGCUGACGAGUGGCGAACGGGUGAGUAAUGCAUCGGAACGUGCCCAGUCGUGGGGGAUAACGCAGCGAAAGCUGUGCUAAUACCGCAUACGAUCUAUGGAUGAAAGCGGGGGACCGUAAGGCCUCGCGCGAUUGGAGCGGCCGAUGUCAGAUUAGGUAGUUGGUGGGGUAAAGGCCUACCAAGCCGACGAUCUGUAGCUGGUCUGAGAGGACGACCAGCCACACUGGGACUGAGAGACGGCCCAGGCUCGUACGGGGGGCAGCAGUGGGGAAUUUUGGACAAUGGGCGCAAGCCUGAUUCAGCAAUGCCGCGUGCAGGAAGAAGGCCUUCGGGUUGUAAACUGCUUUUGUACGGAACGAAACGGUCUGGGUUAAUACCCUGGGCUAAUGACGGUACCGUAAGAAUAAGCACCGGCUAACUACGUGCCAGCCGCCGCCGUAA
rnacentral:rRNA from 1 species